UUCACUAAAUAAUGUAAAACGGAAGUGUUCUCGUCACCCGGAGUAAUUUCAAUUACGUAUUACAUUAUCCCAUACUCCGCCGCCUUUCCCCAUCUCCGGAGUCCACGCAUCUUGGAUUCUCUUAGCUGCAGCUGCAAUAAAACGCGCCCCCAGUCCCGAACCACAACGCCCAAGCCAAUACCAUCUCCACCAAAAACACCCACAUCUGUAUUAAUCUUAAUCGCGCCCACUGGAGGCUUUCGCCAAAGAAGAGGGGACUCAUGACUAUAGGCUUGGCUUACCUUAGCAGGUGACUCAUGGAGCCUGC
rnacentral:lncRNA from 1 species